GGCCCCUGCAGGCAGAUCUGCUCAGAGGCGUAAUAGCCUUUGUUAGGUUUUGUGUUUAAGAAUGGAAUUGUUCCCUGCAGGCAGGGCCUGGACAGAUUUUUGGGCCCGGUGUUAGUCCUUCCUGUGCUGGGGAAAGAGGCUGGUGUCCUAGAGAGGCUCACAGAGAAGCCAGGCUGUAAGGACACCCUCAAGAGCACACACAGAUUCGUUCUGCCCCUGCCCAGGCUGUGCCUUACUUCAUAGAGUAUGAAGGGAGUCAGAUCUUCACAGCUAUCAGGUUCCUUAAAAAGAGGGACUUUUAAGAUUAAAAUGAUGAAGAAGACAGACUCCUGGGGGAUUCCUUGGAGAAAGGCCAAUAAGCCUUUGCUACGCCUGUUGACUCUGCCCUUUGUUAGUGAUCCACAGUCAUUGGGACGUGCAGACAAGUACACCGACAAGGAUGCCUGACCAUCACUGCUGGACCAGCGAGGUCCCCAGUCUGAUAUGUGUGAGAUCCUGCUCUGUCUUCCCUACCCUUGCGUGUUCCUUUCAUCCCCCACUAUCUUCCUCCUGUCCUCUCUCUUUCUUAGCUUCUCACCCGAUCUUGAGACCAACUGCACGGCAUGCUACCAGGACAAUGGGGUGAGAUGGCUCACCCACCUCUUCCCAGUCUGAGAAGGACUGGUGAAGGAGAGGGAUCUGACUAAAGCAGUCAGAUGGUGUCCCAGACCAAGGAAGCAAGCUGGGAUCUAGAGCAACAGCUAUUGUGGCCGGCCUGCUAGCCCAAAGCAUCUGUCCAUGACUGACCAGCAGCCUGGGUAUCCUGAGAACAUCACCAAAAGCCAUAUUUCCCCACUUUACUGUCCUAUCUUUUCUCCUCUUUGGAUCAGUCUAUUUUGUCAAAAGCAGGAAAAGCAACCACCACUGAGAGCUAUCCACUCAAAAUUCAACCCCAGCACUAACUCUUCCUGCCGCAUGAAGAAAGGUUGCUUGACAGAACAAGAGAUUCUAACUGAUAUCCCUCCUUUGAGAAUGGGACUUGGAUACGUUCUGAUUGUUUUGCAUAACCACCCGAUUUCAGUGUCAGAACGCUUCAUGUUCACGGAUGGUCUCGAUAAUACUUAGUCCUGCCAUGAGUGCAGGAGACUUGCCUAGAUGACCUCUCAAGGUCUCUUCCAGUCCUAUGAUUCUAUGUUUUGGUUUUGAUUUUUUUUUCUCUUCUUUACCCUAAACUUUGGCAUGAAUUUUCUAGUGUCUUUGCCAUGAGACUAAGCAGGCCAAGAUCUCACGUCUAACUGUUUGGUAUUGUACAGUGACAAGCUAAUGUUAACAUUUUUGCCACCCUGAGCCCGCUAAUUCUAUUGACAUUAAAACAGGUCAACCCAGAGACCAAUAUGUCCAUCACCUUCCAGUAAUACGCUGGACUGCAAUGACCUCUGAGUGUCCUGGCUUCCCUCCUAACUUGGAAAUCCUAUUUGCAGGCUCUUUGUUUAGAAGAUAAGGAAAUUAAUCAUUCUGCAAAUGCUUAAGUGGUUUACAAUAGCAAUGAAAAAUAGAUCGUGUUUGAAAUA